UACAGAGGGUGCAAGCGUUAAUCGGAAUUACUGGGCGUAAAGCGUGCGUAGCCGGUUACAUAAGUCAGAUGUGAAAGCCCCGGGCUCAACCUGGGAAUUGCAUUUGAGACUGCGUAGCUAGGGUGCGGAAGAGGGAAGCGGAAUUUCCGGUGUAGCGGUGAAAUGCGUAGAUAUCGGAAGGAACACCAGUGGCGAAAGCGGCUUCCUGGUCCAGCACCGACGUUCAGGCACGAAAGCGUGGGGAGCAGACAGG
rnacentral:rRNA from 1 species